UACGAAGGGGGCUAGCGUUGUUCGGAAUCACUGGGCGUAAAGCGCACGUAGGCGGAUCUUUAAGUCAGGGGUGAAAUCCCGAGGCUCAACCUCGGAACUGCCUUUGAUACUGGGGAUCUCGAGUCCGGGAGAGGUGAGUGGAACUGCGAGUGUAGAGGUGAAAUUCGUAGAUAUCGAGAGGAACACCUGUGGCGAAGGCGGCCAACUGGACGAGUACUGACGCUGAGACACGAAAGCGUGGGGAGCAAACAGG
rnacentral:rRNA from 1 species